rnacentral:sRNA from 1 species
AAGUCUGUUGAGUGAGACUGACGUCUUCCUCAAGAUUUCCUUGUACAUAUUGUUCUACUAUUACAUCAUUCCACUUGUUGUAAUCGUAUUCUUCGCUAAUACCUUCACUACCGUCUGUGGUAGGAUACAAGGUACUUCCCCCAAUAGAUCCAUCCACACAAAGAUAAUCAUCACACCCAUCAUCAUCUUCGUUGCCCUCCUCCACUUCAUCCUCUUUUGUUGUAUCGUCUUCAACAUCGCCUUGCUCCUCUACAUCCUCAUUAUUUUCAUCAACAUUUGUAGCACUAUAAAACACACGACCACUUUCAGAAACUUCACCAUGAGACCUAGAGACAGUAUUCCCGAACGCCUUCACUGUAUUAUUGAAAGAGACGAACAAGUUGAGAGAAAAAUACCCACCAUGAACCAAAAAAAACGUUUCGAGACCCAUCUGACUGUCAAUGUAUACAGGAGGGCGUUUAGUAUCUAUCAGCACUGACAUUUCUCCCGGUAUCCAGUAGCUAAUUAUGAGAUUGAUCUCGGUGGACUUCAAACUGAAAGCCUCUCGGAGUGUACGGACAAAGUCCGUGUACGUCAUGGUUUCCUGAACUCGUACACAACGACCAAAGAUGCCUUCCUCAGGUUCAAAUUUCCAUUCUCCUUCUUUGCAUUUCCACUCACCGACCAUAGUAAAUACGGGAAUAUCCAUAACCCACCUGCAUCAUAAAUUCAGGAGACACACAUUAAAUGCAACUGAAAAAUACUAUACAUAUAAAAAAACAAAUGGAAUGUCGAUACUACACAUUUAUAAACCUAAAUACCAAUUAUCAUUUGACUAUUUUAAACAAACAAAUAUAGAUUUUGCAAAUUUUCUGAUAAAAAAAUGGAGUUCGAACACAAUCAAGAUCCUAAUAUGACAUAACAAAAAACUUCUUAAAAGAACUUCAUUACUUACACGAACAAUGCUUGUUUUGGCUCCAAACUUGGUACAAAAACAAGAUCAACACUUCUUCAGCAGCAAUGUACGUUCUCAAUAAUUCUUUGUUCCUGGGUUCAUCUUCUUUAUCUCAACAAUUUUUUUAUUAAUUAUUAU